UAUAUAUAUAUCGUCUUCAGUUUUAGUGUGAGGUCUUAAUUUUCAUAAGUAGAAUUGAAAGUCCUGAAGAUGUCUUAAGUUACUGUAAUAACAUAAUAACAGAACUAUUGAGCUUGUAGUAAAUAACCAGUAAAUUCCUUUUAAUAGAACAGUAAGAGUGCUGUGAUACUGAGACUCCUUAAUCAUAGCUGAUCUUCUAAUCCAUGCUUUUAUAUUGUUUAAUUGUGUUGAAAAUAAAGUGACAACUUUGAUUGUUUAUGUAUCUUGUAUAUGUAUGUUUGCCUAUGCUUCACUGUCUUAUUUUCAAUAGUCAAAAUACAAAUAUAAAUAAAGUCUACCUUUUAAAAUUCCUUGUGCGUUACCAGUAAGUACAGGUAUCUAUUUACAAAGAGUUUGGUUCAUCUUUAU